UAAAAGUUUUAUUUUGGCUUAAAAAUUUGUUGUUAAUUUGAUUUAUAUGUAAAUUUUUGUAUGAAUUAAUAUUAAUUUUAAAAAUUUUUAUAAUUUAUUAUAACCGCAGUAAUUAAUUUUAUUAAUUAAAGAAAUUUAGAAAUAGCAAUAUUAAAAAGUAUAGAUUAAAUUGGUGCCAGCAAUCGCGGUUAUACCAAUUAUACAAAUAAAUUUUUUUUAGUAAUAGUUAAAUUUGAUUUGAUAAAUAUAAUUUAAAUUAAAUUUAUUAAGUGAAAUUUUAAAUUUAAAUUUUUAUAAAUUAAUAUGUUGAAGCUAAAAAAUUUUAAUUAAAAACUAGGAUUAGAUACCCUAUUAUUUAAAAUAUAAUUAUAAAUACUUAAGUAGUAAUAGUUAUGUUCUUGAAACUUAAAAAAUUUGGCGGUAUUUUAGUCUAUCCAGAGGAACCUGUUUUAUAAUCGAUAAUCCACGAUGGACCUUACUUAAAUUUGUAAUCAGUUUAUAUACCGUCGUUAUCAGAAUAUUUUAUAAGAAUAUUAAUAUUCAAUAAUUUUUAUUAAAAUUUAUAUCAGAUCAAGGUGUAGCUUAUGUUUAAGUAAAAAUGGGUUACAAUAAAUUUAUUUAUAUGGAUAAAAUUAUGAAAAAAUUUUUGAAAUUGGAUUUGGUAGUAAAUUUAUAAAGAUUAAUAAUUUGAUUUUAGCUCUAAAAUAUGUACACAUCGCCCGUCGCUCUUAUUAUUAAGGUAAGAUAAGUCGUAACAUAGUAGAUGUACUGGAAAGUGUAUCUAGAAUGAC
rnacentral:ncRNA from 1 species